rnacentral:rRNA from 1 species
UACGUAGGGUGCAAGCGUUAUCCGGAAUUAUUGGGCGUAAAGAGCUCGUAGGCGGUUUGUCGCGUCUGCCGUGAAAGUCCGGGGCUUAACCCCGGAUCUGCGGUGGGUACGGGCAGACUAGAGUGCAGUAGGGGAGACUGGAAUUCCUGGUGUAGCGGUGAAAUGCGCAGAUAUCAGGAGGAACACCGAUGGCGAAGGCAGGUCUCUGGGCAUUAACUGACGCUGAGGAGCGAAAGCAUGGGGAGCGAACAGG